CCUAUAUUCAGCUUACAAUCUGUAUUUUUAUAUACUGUCUAAUUUGAAUAUAGUGACACCUGUUAGUUUUAUAUUAUCUAUUUUUUAAUGGCAAGAAAACUAAUGACUCACAAAUUCUAAAGUAUUUAUUACAUAAAAUACAUGCCCUGUAUUUUAAAAGUGUACUGAUCACUUAUCCAUUGUAUUUGUCAUGUGAUGUAGGGGCUGAAGAAGAUUCAGUAGGUUUAAGUCGAAUGGGAACGGCCUCAGGGAACAUCUGCUUUUCACAGCAGCUGCCCAUGAGGGGUGGUUAACAAAAUCAAUAAUUGCUAAAGAGUUGAUAUUUUCUGGUGCAAACAUUGACCAAGUAAAAACAAAUGAGAAAGAGGCAUCAGAUAAGUGAGCAUCAAUCUUUCAGUCAAUUGCCUGAUCUGAAAUAUUUUCACCUGAUCUGAGAUAUUUUUGUAUCCCUAUAGCGUAUUUGAAGACUUUCCCUACAACGAGGCACUCAGCUGUGAUUACUUGUGAAGAGAAAGGGUCAAGCUCUGUUGCCCAGGCUAGAAUGCAGUGCUGUGAUCAUAGCUCAUUGCAGCCUCAAACACCUGGGCUCAAGGGAUCCUCUCACUGCAGCCUCCCAAGUGGCUGGGAAUACAGGUGAGUGCCCACCAUACCCGACUCUAGAUUUUUUUUUUUAAAUAAAG
rnacentral:lncRNA from 10 species